UGGGGAAUAUUGGACAAUGGGCGAAAGCCUGAUCCAGCCAUGCCGCGUGUGUGAAGAAGGUCUUCGGAUUGUAAAGCACUUUAAGUUGGGAGGAAGGGCAGUAAGUUAAUACCUUGCUGUUUUGACGUUACCAACAGAAUAAGCACCGGCUAACUUCGUGCCAGCAGCCGCGGUAAUACGAAGGGUGCAAGCGUUAAUCGGAAUUACUGGGCGUAAAGCGCGCGUAGGUGGUUUGGUAAGAUGGAUGUGAAAUCCCCGGGCUCAACCUGGGAACUGCAUCCAUAACUGCCUGACUAGAGUACGGUAGAGGGUGGUGGAAUUUCCUGUGUAGCGGUGAAAUGCGUAGAUAUAGGAAGGAACACCAGUGGCGAAGGCGACCACCUAGACUGAUACUGACACUGAGGUGCGAAAGCGUGGGGAGCAAACA
rnacentral:rRNA from 1 species